GUCCUAGAAGAGGUGUGUUUAGUUAGCAGUGAGGGGGAGUCCCCUAAGGGAGCUCCCUCCUGGCACUUACCGUCGUGGGGGCUGAGCUGGGCUGUGGCAAACUCCUCCCCUUGCUGGGGAACCACCAAGACAGAGAGAAUCAAGCUGGAAAGGACCCAAGGAGUCGACCCCUCCUGCCUUUCAGCAGGACCGCUUCAAAGCCAUUCCGGCUGUCUCCCGUUUCCUUAAGGUGUCCGGAGAGCCGACUCCUCGACUUCGGUUGCGGUAACGAGCAGCAGGCCCCAGAGCCACUCUGGUAGCCGGCAGUCCCUUUCCUGUCACACCCUUCCCCCCCGCACAACCUGGGGGCUCCGGUAGCGCUCCGGCUGCCGAGGACGCUUGUCCAGCUGUGAGUGUGUGACCUUAAGGGUUGCCUCGAGUUGGCCCCUCAUCACUACUCGGUUUCCCGUAGCGUCUAUCAAAAACGGGACCUCUGGCUGAGAGGGUCAUCUGUACUCACCACUUGGUCGGCAGUGAAGUCAAUGUAGCCGGGAAGAAUAAGGAAGUCACUGUGGGAGGGGGGGAGAAGGUCAACACUCGGUAAUAAAGGGGUGAUGAUGGAGCUUCUGUCCCAAACACCGGAUGAGUCCCCGUCCAGCACCAAAGGCUCCAGGAUCGGGAACGUGUGUGAAACCAAACCUCCCCCAUGGGCAGAGCACUGGACUACAGGCAUUCAAAUGUUGGUGAUUGAACGGUAAGAAGAGAGAAGUUUGAGAAGCAGGAAUUGCAUCUCCCAGGAGCAGUUGCCAAAGAUAAGCUCAGAUGGAGUUAGCGAUUCCUCUCUCGGGAAGCAGAUCUAACACAGCUCCAACUGGGAUACUGCGAGUAUCCCACGCUACGGAAGCGUCAGCCCCAGGACCUGCCGUGGCAGGUUAUGGCAGGAUUUCCAGAGCCUUCUCUACCCCCGCCUAAGUUUCCCCGAUGAAAAUCUGAAAAAGGAAAAAGACAGUAGCCAAAUGCGUACGGGGCACAGUAGACACUCGAUCCCCUCCUGGCGCCCAACCCCCAGACAACAUGCUUUCCGGAUUCAUUUGCAAUCCAACCAGAUGGGCAUCUGUAAACAGUAUCAUCUGCUGUUACGUUUUUGGAUUAGCCGGUUCAGGCUCCAUAGCCCCGAAUUUGUGGCCACACGAUGCCUCCCGGAGUUCCCGCGAUUGGCAGCUGCUGCCCGGACAUCUGGGCAGAUCUCUGCUUCACCUUUCACCCACUGCCAACCUCCUAGGGUUCUCAGGGAUUGCCGUGAAGCUCCCCAGGCCGCCAGCAGCAGCAGCAGGGUGGACUUGGGGAUGGGACGUGGCUGCCUGCACUUAAUCUGUGCUCUUCCUGCAAGUGUUGGUUCGAUGCUGAGGGUCAAAAAGAGCAGUCCAUUGGAACGUUUCUUGGCCGGGGGUAGGGGGUGGUGGAGAAAAAACAACAACUCUUGAUCAAGACAGAUCUAGCCGGUUCCUCGAGAAUCAGGAGGAAACUCCCUACUCUUUCCCCAUAAGCCAAUUAAAAAACAAAACGCACACGCACAAAAUCCACUAAAAUCUAGAAAAGCCAUCUUAGGGUCGCAAAAAGGGAAGGCUGCAGCUGCUGAACUGUUAACAUCACACCCAUUUUAUCAAGGCAUAGAAAAGAGGAAAGGAUGAAGAAUUCAACAGCGACUCAGCCAGUUUGGCUAGCAGAAAGAAGUUAUCAAGCUACCUUUAUCACCUUUCACUGGGUAUCAGUAAAGUUAUCCACACGUCCUAGAAACUGGGCAGGAAUAGGAGGGAAAGAAGGCAAUUCCCCGUCCACCCUCCAGUCAGCUCAGGAUAGCUAAAACACCCCCGCCCCCAGUUUCCCAUUCUCGCUUUCCUCCCCAAAUAAAGACGCAUCGUUCAAUGGCAUGUUGAAAAGACGUGCUCGUCAUUCUUAAUAAACAACUAGAGUAAGAAUACAUAAGAGAAACAAGGUGGUAUCUUUAUAUGAUACACAAGUGUAUGUUACAAGAAUCCCAUCAGGCACAGGAGCCUCAAGUUUAAGGCCUCAAUGUUAGGCCAAAAAAAAAAAAA